AUUGAACGCUGGCGGCAGGCCUAACACAUGCAAGUCGAACGGCAACAGGAAGAAGCUUGCUUCUUUGCUGACGAGUGGCGGACGGGUGAGUAAUGUCUGGCAAACUGUCUGAUGUAGGGGGAUAACUACUGGAAACGGUAGCUAAUACCGCAUAACGUCGCAAGACCAAAGAGGGGGACCUUCUGGCCUCUUGCCAUCGUAUGUGCCCAGAUGGGAUUAGCUAGUAGGUGGGGUAACGGCUCACCUAGGCGACGAUCCCUAGCUGGUCUGAGAGGAUGAUCAGCCACACUGGAACUGAGACACGGUCCAGACUCCUACGGGAGGCAGCAGUGGGGAAUAUUGGACAAUGGGCGCAAGCCUGAUGCAGCCAUGCCGCGUGUAUGAAGAAGGCCUUCGGGUUGUAAAGUACUUUUGGCGGGGAGGAAGAGAGUAAAGUUAAUACCUUGCCUCAUUGACGUUACCCGAAGAAGAAGCACCGGCUAACUCCGUG
rnacentral:rRNA from 1 species